rnacentral:rRNA from 1 species
UACGUAGGGUGCGAGCGUUGUCCGGAAUUAUUGGGCGUAAAGAGCUCGUAGGCGGUGUGUCGCGUCGGCCGUGAAAACCUGGGGCUCAACUCUGGGCGUGCGGUCGAUACGGGCAUCACUUGAGUUCGGCAGGGGAGACUGGAAUUCCUGGUGUAGCGGUGAAAUGCGCAGAUAUCAGGAGGAACACCAGCGGCGAAGGCGGCGCUCUGGGCCGGUACUGACGCUGAGGAGCGAAAGCUAGGGUAGCAAACAGG